rnacentral:rRNA from 1 species
CCCUUAGAUGUUCUGGACCGCACGCGCGCUACACUGACGAUGGCAACGAGUUUUUCCUUCGCCGAAAGGUGUGGGUAAUCUUUUGAAACAUCGUCGUGCUGGGGAUAGAUCAUUGCAAUUUUUGAUCUUGAACGAGGAAUUCCUAGUAAGCGCGAGUCAUCAGCUCGCGUUGAUUACGUCCCUGCCCUUUGUACACACCGCCCGUCGCUACUACCGAUUGAAUGGUUUAGUGAGGACUCCUGAUUGGCGCCGCCGCCCCGGCAACGGAGCAGCGGACUGCCGAAAAGUUGUUCAAACUUGAUCAUUUAGAGGAAGUAAAAGUCGUAACA